rnacentral:rRNA from 1 species
AGGGUGUAAACGAUGCGGGCUUGGUGUUGGGGGUCCUUAGUGGGCGCCCAGUGCCGGAGAGAAGUUGUUAAGCCUGCUGCUUGGGGAGUAUGUCCGCAAGGAUGAAACUUAAAGGAAUUGGCGGGGGAGCACCGCAACGGGAGGAGCGUGCGGUUUAAUUGGAGUCAACGCCGGACAACUCACCAGGAGCGACAGAUUACAUGAAGGCCAGGCUGAAGACCUUGCUUGACUAGCUG